GUCACGCGGCGGCCAGGCCUUUUUCACGUGAUCGCCAGGGGUUUCUCAAUGAAAGGGCCUUGAGGCGGCGCCUGAGCGCGUGCCCGUCGGGUAGUAGGUCGCUGCGCUCUCGCACUUAAUCCGCCCGCCUGGGAGGCUGCGCCCUGCGCGGGUUUAACCCAUGCGAGUGUCGCGCGCUCCGGGCCCAGGGAUCGCGUUAAAACGUCUGGGUUCGGAGUUCGCAAGCGAAGCCGAGGAGAACAGCACGUGUAGUCUGUAAUUUACUUUUUAAAAAUUGGAUGUAUAACCCAGCAUUUCCGCUUCCUGGUGUCUACUUAAGAGUAACAGUCUCACGACGCAUGAAAAAGGCUUGUACGAGGAUGCUCGUGGCAACGAUGCUUGUAAUAGCGGAAAAUUGAGAUCAGUAGGGGAUGGAAAAACAAAUCAUGGAGCAUUCCUGCUAUAGAAUAUAAUGCAGUCGUGACGAGGGGUGAGGUAUAUCCCCGUGAGAAACCCUGCAAGGCGCAGUCAGCAAAAGAGGCAAAUUGGAUUGAAACACUGGCAAUUUCCUCCAUGAAGUCUUCCCUGAUUGUUUCAGCCUUUAUGUUCUUUACCUUCUCUGGAAUUCUUGUAAAAUGUACAGACUGCAUCCCACUGGCAAGGGUUCAUCAACUCCACAGUAAAUGCUCAUCUUCACAAGGUAAUUAUGAAGACUAAAUGUGUUAAAAUACAUAAAAUGUCUGAGGUAGUGCUACAUAAUAUUCACUGCAAUUAUUAGUAUUAUUUUACUGUCUUAUAUUUUUAUUAUUAUUUUAAUUUUUAUUGUGGCUAUGAAACAGCCUUGCAUUUUUUAUAACAAAAAUGACAUCUGAUAUUUUUUUGACACUUGCUAAUGCACCAGGCUGUGAGCUAAGUGCUUUACAACAUUAUCUCCUUAAAUUUUCACAAUUAGCCACUGAGGUAAACAAUAUUAUUCCCAGUUAACACAUGAGGAAACAGGUUUAGAAUACUUAAGUAACUUGCCCAAGAUUACCCAGUUUAUCCAGAGGAGGUUGAAUUUGAAUUCAGCAGAGUCUGUCUGACUCCAGAGCUUCAGCUUAUGAAGUAACAGUCGCCCAUUAGAGGGAGAAAAAAUCGGAAAAAACAGAAAAGUGGAAAUGAAAAUGGUGCCACUGGACACACUCAAAAGCAUUGUAUUAACAUUUUGAGGCAUUUCUUUCUUUUUUAAUAACGGCUAUAUUGAGAUAUAAUUCAUAUACUAUAAAAGUCAUACUUUUAAAGUGUACAUUUGAGCAGUUUAUUGUAUUUACAGAGUUAAGCAACCAUCACAACCAUUUAAUUUUAGAAUUUUUCUUCACCCCCAAAAAGAAAUCCUAUACCAUGCAGCCAGUCCACAUUCCACCCUCCCUCCACACCCUGGUAACUUACUUUCUGUCUCUAUGGAUUUGCCUAUUCUAAACACUUCAUAAAAACAGAAUCAUACAACACGUGACCUUUUGUAUCUGGCUUCUUCAUUUAGCAUAGUGGUUUCAAGUUUCACCCAUGC
rnacentral:lncRNA from 1 species